rnacentral:rRNA from 1 species
AACGAACGCUGGCGGCAGGCUUAACACAUGCAAGUCGAACGGUUGUAGCAAUACAGCAGUGGCAGACGGGUGAGUAACACGUGGGAACCUUCCUAGGGGUACGGAACAACUCAGGGAAACUUGAGCUAAUACCGUAUACGUCCGUGAGGGGAAAGAUUUAUCGCCCUUAGACGGGCCCGCGUCGGAUUAGCUAGCUGGUGGGGUAACGGCCUACCAAGGCGACGAUCCGUAGCUGAUCUUAGAGGAUGAUCAGCCACACUGGGACUGAGACACGGCCCAGACUCCUACGGGAGGCAGCAGUGGGGAAUCUUGGACAAUGGGCGCAAGCCUGAUCCAGCCAUGCCGCGUGAGUGAAGAAGGUCUUCGGAUUGUAAAGCUCUUUUGCCAGGGACGAUAAUGACGGUACCUGGAGAAUAAGCCCCGGCAAACUUCGUGCCAGCAGCCGCGGUAA